rnacentral:rRNA from 1 species
CCCCGAAGUGGGGGAUAAUCCUGCGAAAGUGGGACUAAUACCGCAUGGGCUCCAGGGGGUUAGAGGCCCCUGGAGCAAAGCUCCGGCGCUUCGGGAGAGGCCCGCGGCCUAUCAGCUAGUUGGUAGGGUAAUGGCCUACCAAGGCUAAGACGGGUAGGGGGCGUGAGAGCGUGGCCCCCCGCAAUGGAACUGAGACACGGUCCAUACUCCUACGGGAGGCAGCAGUGAGGAAUAUUGCGCAAUGGGGGCAACCCUGACGCAGCAACGCCGCGUGGGUGAUGAAGGCCUUCGGGUCGUAAAACCCUUUUCUGGGGGACGAGAAAGGACGGUACCCCAGGAAUAAGUCCCGGCUAACUACGUGCCAGCAGCCGCGGUAAAACGUAGGGGGCGAGCGUUAUCCGGAUUUACUGGGCGUAAAGCGCGUGCAGGCGGCUUGGUAGGUUGGACGUGAAAGCUCUCGGCUCAACUGAGAGAGGCCGUUCAAUACCGCCAGGCUCGAGGACGGAAGAGGGGAGUGGAAUUCCCGGUGUAGUGGUGGAAUGCGUAGAUAUCGGGAGGAACACCAGUGGCGAAGGCGGCUCCCUGGUCCGCACCUGACGCUAAGACGCGAAAGCGUGGGGAGCGAACGGGAUUAGAUACCCCGGUAGUCCACGCUGUAAACGAUGGAUGCUAGGUGUAGGUGGUAUUGACCCCAUCUGUGCCGUAGCUAACGCGUUAAGC